rnacentral:rRNA from 1 species
GGGGAAUCUUCCGCAAUGGACGAAAGUCUGACGGAGCAACGCCGCGUGAGUGAUGACGGCCUUCGGGUUGUAAAGCUCUGUUAAUCGGGACGAAUGGUUCUUGUGCGAAUAGUGCGAGGAUUUGACGGUACCGGAAUAGAAAGCCACGGCUAACUACGUGCCAGCAGCCGCGGUAAUACGUAGGUGGCAAGCGUUGUCCGGAAUUAUUGGGCGUAAAGCGCGCGCAGGCGGAUUGGUCAGUCUGUCUUAAAAGUUCGGGGCUUAACCCCGUGAUGGGAUGGAAACUGCCAAUCUAGAGUAUCGGAGAGGAAAGUGGAAUUCCUAGUGUAGCGGUGAAAUGCGUAGAUAUUAGGAAGAACACCAGUGGCGAAGGCGACUUUCUGGACGAAAACUGACGCUGAGGCGCGAAAGCCAGGGGAGCGAACGGGAUUAGAUACCCCGGUAGUCCUGGCCGUAAACGAUGGGUACUAGGUGUAGGAGGUAUCGACCCCUUCUGUGCCGGAGUUAACGCAAUAAGUACCCCGCCUGGGGGGUACGACCGCAAGGUUG